UACGUAGGUGGCAAGCGUUGUCCGGAAUUAUUGGGCGUAAAGCGCGCGCAGGCGGCCUUUUAAGUCUGAUGUGAAAGCCCCACGGCUCAACCGUGGAAGGUCAUUGGAAACUGAAAGGCUUGAGUACAGAAGAGGAAAGCGGAAUUCCACGUGUAGCGGUGAAAUGCGUAGAUAUCGUUUGGAACGCCAAUGGUGAAAACAGGUAACUGGGAGUGUGCCGACGCUGAGACACGAAAGCCAGGGGAGCGAACGGG
rnacentral:rRNA from 1 species